GGAAGCGACUCGUUUCCCAGUGGCCGUAAUGAUGGUUUAAACAAUUCUGUCUGGAGACGGUUCUCCUUCUUUCCAUGUUAACAAAGUUGGAAGAACAGCAGCAGCACUACGUUACAAGGUGGAUAAUAAGACCAGAAGGGUGUAGAUUUAUGGCUCCACAUGCACUCCCUGAGGAUGAUCAGAGCAAACAAUGAAAAUCACUCCAGAAGCAGAGAAAAUGGAGGGAGCUGAGCAAUAGCUUCUAGAAAAACAUAACCCUUAUGGACAACCAAAUGGCUACCAACGAUAAGGAACAAUGAGUUUAAAAAUUGAGACACUACUGACUAGGCUCAACGUUGAUUAUAAUAAUUUGAAAGGCACAGAAUUUGAACAGCAGCUUCCCUCUUGGAUCCAUCGUCCCUCUGGUUAUGACUGUUAGUGUUACUCGGUAAAUCGGAAAAAUAAAAUGGCCGUAACCAUUACGCA